CUGGUCGUUUACUCUGAAAAAAUUAGAGUGUUUAAGGCAGGCAUUAUUGCCGUUGAAUAGUUCAGCAUGGAAUAAUAAGAUAGGGCUUCGGCACCACGAAAGUGCUAUGGUUGACGUUGAACGGGAUUUUGAACGAGGUUUUUUGCUCUCUUUUCGGAGGGUGGUGAGGAGCUUUGUUUGAUUUUCUGUUGAUGUUGAUUAACUUUCAUUGGGUCUCUCUAUUUUGUUGGUUUCUAGAGCCGAAGUAAUGAUUGAUAGGGAUAGUUGGGGGUGCUAGUAUUGCUGGGCCAGAGGUGAAAUUCUUGGAUUCCAGCAGGACUAACUUAUGCGAAAGCAUUCACCAAGGAUAUUCUCUUUAAUCAAGAACGAAAGUUGGAGGAUCGAAGACGAUCAGAUACCGUCGUAGUCCCAACCAUAAACGAUGCCAUCUAGGGAUU
rnacentral:rRNA from 1 species